UUUUUUCUAAAUGUUCUUUUGGGUUGUUCAAUAAGUAGAAUUUGGGUAAAAGUGGAAGACUGAGAACUUUGUUGGAUAAGAAUUGGGUUUGUUGGGAUGAUGGGAAUACUUUUUUUUCUUUUUCUCUUUAUAAUAUUUUACUAUAUUCUUUUUAACCCAUUUUUCAUUAAUUUUUGAAUUUAAAAGAAAAUACAAAAUAAAAAUCCCAAUUAUCACUCUACUAUUUCACGUUUCCACUCUUAUUCCUAGUUCCUUUCAAACAUGGUUUUCAUAUUGUACAG
rnacentral:lncRNA from 1 species